rnacentral:snRNA from 1 species
GCAUGUGAUGUCAAUCUGGCUGCGACAUCUGUCACCCCAUUGAUCGCCAGGUUGAUUCAGCUGAUCUGGCUGGCGAAGCACAGAUCUCCUUCCUUCCUCACCACUCCAUGUGUGUCUCUCCUGAAGCUGUGCACUCGGUGGAAGAGGACGACCAUCCCAGAUAGAAGGAGUGCACUGGGAAUUAACAUUCAAAACAUCUGGAAGGUCAGGAUUUAAGAACAGCCAUUCUAGUGUGUAUAUUUAGAGUUAUUAAUAUAUGCAAGCGGGAGGCUAAUAAAUAAACAAAAGAAUUCCAUAAAUUUUCACAUCUGUUCUGU